CAUCCCGCAAUCUUCGCAAGUUUGAGGUAUUUUUCUUGAUUUUUUUUGUUAAAGUUUAUUUUACACUCUUUUAUCUCCCACUGAUGGGAGCUUUCAAUCAGUUGUAAAUCUAAUGACCUGAAAUGGGUAUCAUCUGAAUCGGUUGAUGCAGAGAUUUUUGCAGUAAAGUUCCUUUUUUUUUGGGGGGGGGGGGGGCUUGAAAAUGGAAUUUCGUGUAUUUGUUUAUGUGAAUUGCAGAAUUCUUACUUGCUUGAUCACUGAGGUUCUUUAGCUGAUCAUUCUUGGUUUUAAUUUUUUCUCCUUUUUUCAUCUUUUCGGUUUAGCCGUGUUUGACACUGUUAUAUGAACGAUUGCUUUGCUUCUCAUUAAAGAAUUAGGAUGAUAACAACUAUAUUCCUUUUUUUUGGGGGGGGGGGGUGUAGGAGGGGAUGUUUAGCUGUAUUUUUAGUGCUUUUUUUGAAAUAUCCCUUGCUUUUAAUUAGGAUAUCAAUCACAAACUAGUUGGAGUUGGUAAUAUGAAUUUUCGCUAUCAAUGUUUUGCGCAAUGUAGUCAAUAUUGUGAGAUUCAACAUAAAUUAACUAGCUUUAUGUUGACUCAAUCUACUGCAACUGGUAGUGUAAGCUUAUGUAGGAUCCAAAGUUCACACUAGGAGAGUUUAAGAUUAAGGAUAAAGAAAAUACUUUUCUGUAAUCCCUGAAAAUUGUAGUAUCCAUUUCUUUUGUUACCCCAUAGGAUCUGGUGUUUUCAAAGUAAGUUUUUGCAAUUGGUUGGGUGCUGGGUAGCUUGAUUAUCCCAAAGAUGUAUUUUUUUUUUUCUCAUCUGACUUCUCCGUUUUGCACGCUCUUAUGUCGAAUUUAAUCUGAAAGCCCUUUUUUCAUAUACCCCACCUGUGCAAGUCAUCCUUUCUCAUUCUUCCGAAACUGCAAUUUUGCAAAAAUUAUGUUUCACUCGAGGUAGACCAUCCAUCUAUUUAUAUAUCAGUCCUUAUCUCAUAGUUGUUCUUUACUUUACAGGUGACAAGCAGCGAUACUUUUUUAAAAAUUUCUUCUUAAGAUCUUGGUCAAGAAGGGCAUCAACUCGUUCAGGAUUUCCUGAAGAGGGAGGGUGCCCAAUUACAUUUCUUCUUCAUCUGCCUGCUGAAGCUCCUCUAUCAAUUUCCUUUGCUUAUUCCCAAGUUCCUAUUGCCUCAAUCAUGAGAGUUGGAGGAUUUCCAGUGAUACGUGUGGAAGGUUUUUGAGUAAUCGACAUUGAUUGAAGACAGC
rnacentral:lncRNA from 1 species